rnacentral:rRNA from 1 species
CACGCCGUAAACGAUGAGUGCUAGGUGUUGGGGGUCGAACCUCAGUGCCGCAGUUAACACAUUAAGCACUCCGCCUGGGGAGUACGACCGCAAGGUUGAAACUCAAAGGAAUUGACGGGGGCCCGCACAAGCAGCGGAGCAUGUGGUUUAAUUCGAAGCAACGCGAAGAACCUUACCAGGACUUGACAUCAUCUGACAACCCAAGAGAUUGGGCUUUCCCUUCGGGGACAGAUAGACAGGUGG